rnacentral:rRNA from 1 species
AGUUAUCGUUUUCCGAGAAGGUAAGAUCUAUUAUAUUUUUCUUUAGUGUAACAUAACUAAAUGUAUAAAUUCAAAAUAGGAGUGAAAUGCUUUCCAAUUACUUAUAUAUCUGAAUAUUAAUUAAAUAUAUGUAGUAUAGGAUAGAAUUCUCAAGUCCUUACUGUUAAGGGUAGGGAUACGAUAAUAAUUAAUCUUUUUUCCACUAUUUUGGGUAAAUACCUGAAAUUUCCCCAUAAAAGUAUACAUAUGAGUCUGGUUUUAUAGUAUUAAUUAAAGAUAGCACAUAACGGUUAUUUCUAUAUAUAAUGUACAAAUUAGUAAGAAUUUUUAUAAAAUGAAGAAGGAACUCGGCAAAUAUGUAAAUCAACUGUUUAUCAAAAACAUAGCUUUCUGCAUUUUAUGGUAAGUGACGUCUGCCCGGUGAAGUUUUUAACGGCCGCAGUACUUUGACUGUGCUAAGGUAGCAAAAUAAAUAGGCUUUUAAUUGGAGUCGAGUAUGAAUGACGUUUUGGUUUACUCCUGUCUCCUUUAUUACAACUUAAUUUACUGAGUAGGUGAAAAUUCCUCCGCACAUAUAUAAGACGAGAAGACCCUAAGAAUUUUUAAUAAGUAACUGGUUUUUAGUUCUUUUUUGUUGGGGCGACAAUAUGGCACCUUAAACCCAUAUUAUAAAGAUAACGUGUAACAUAUUUAAUUAAGUACAAGAGAAUAUAAUUACCUUAGGGAUAACAGCAUAAUUUUUAUUUAAGAUUGUGACCUCGAUGUUGGACUAGGGACCUGUUGUAUUAACCAUAUAAAAGGCAAAUUCUGUUCGAAUUAUUAUUUACCUACAUGAUCUGAGUUCAGACCGGCGUAAGCCAGGUCAGUUUCUAUCUAUUUUAAUAUUACCCUUAGUACA